AGGUAAUUAAAACUUGCUUACGUGGGACUAUGCUGAUCUGACCCAUAUCGGACAAAGGCAAAGCCUAAUGGUUAUCCAAGCCACCCAGAACUUAAAAAUGGGCAAAUAUUCUCUGCAAAUAUGUGCAAAUAUUUCUGUGGCUGUGUAUGGGGUUUACGUGUUGAGGUGUCGGCAGUGGGGGGGCUGCAGGGGUGGCCUCUGUGGGAAGAGAGCAGGGGCUGCCCUCAGCCAGACACACAGCCAGUCCCAGCCGGUCUCAGCUGGUUCCAGCCAGUUCCAGCCAUUCCAGCCAGGACCACCGUGGCCCCCACCGCUGCCACAGCUGAGCCCACCAGCCACACUGGUGGCACCUCUGGGAAUAUGUAUUUAAGAAAGGGCAAAACACUGUACAGCACAGUGAAGAGUGAAGAAAAAAGUGUGAGAAAGAGCCCUGCGACACCCAGAUGAGAGAAAGAGGAGGGGAGGGCUGUGCUGCAGGCUCCAGAGCAGAUUCCCCGGCAGCCUGUGGAGACAUCACGGUGGAGCAGGUAUUUUCCUGCAGCCCAUGGAGAGCCCAUGCAGGAGCAGGCUUACCCUGAAGGACUGCAGGCUGUGGAGAGGACCCACACUGGAGCUUGGGAAAAAUGUGUGGAGAAAGGAGUGGCAGAGGGGAGCUGUUACAGACUGAUUGUAAGCCCCCCCACACCCUGUGCUGCUUGGGGAGAGGAGGUAAAGGAGCUGGGAAUGAAGGAGUGAAGUUAAGCCUUGGGGGAAAAAAAAAGGGUGGGGUGGGUAGAAGUUGUUUUAUUUUUUGUCUUUGUUUUUCACUAUCCAAACCUCUUUUAAUUGUCAGUAAAUUAAAUUAGUUUUCCCCAA